rnacentral:rRNA from 1 species
GCGAAAUAGAGGCGGGCCUAAUACAUGCAAGUCGAGCGGCAGUAGGGAAGAUAGCUUGCUAUCUUUGCCGGCGAGCGGCGGAUGGGUGAGUAAUGCCUAGGGAUCUGCCCAGUCGAGGGGGAUAACAGUUGGAAACGACUGCUAAUACCGCAUACGCCCUACGGGGGAAAGGAGGGGACCUUCGGGCCUUCCGCGAUUGGAUGAACCUAGGUGGGAUUAGCUAGUUGGUGAGGUAAUGGCUCACCAAGGCGACGAUCCCUAGCUGUUCUGAGAGGAUGAUCAGCCACACUGGGACUGAGACACGGCCCAGACUCCUACGGGAGGCAGCAGUGGGGAAUAUUGCACAAUGGGGGAAACCCUGAUGCAGCCAUGCCGCGUGUGUGAAGAAGGCCUUCGGGUUGUAAAGCACUUUCUGUAGGGAGGAAAGGUAGCAGCUUAAUACGCUGUUGUUGUGACGUUACCUAAGGAAAAAAGACCGGCUAACUCCGUGCCCGCGGCGCGGAAAUACGGAAAGUCCCAUCGCGUUGCACAAAAUUAGACCACAUGCCCCGCCCCUUGUGCGGGCCCCCCGAAAUUUUUUUGAUUUUUAACCUUUGCGGCCGUACUCCCCCAGGCGGGCUACUUAAUGCGUUAGUUUGAGA